rnacentral:rRNA from 1 species
GUGUGACUGCGUACCUUUUGUAUAAUGGGUCAGCGACUUAUAUUCUGUAGCAAGGUUAACCGAAUAGGGGAGCCGAAGGGAAACCGAGUCUUAACUGGGCGUUAAGUUGCAGGGUAUAGACCCGAAACCCGGUGAUCUAGCCAUGGGCAGGUUGAAGGUUGGGUAACACUAACUGGAGGACCGAACCGACUAAUGUUGAAAAAUUAGCGGAUGACUUGUGGCUGGGGGUGAAAGGCCAAUCAAACCGGGAGAUAGCUGGUUCUCCCCGAAAGCUAUUUAGGUAGCGCCUCGUGAAUUCAUCUCCGGGGGUAGAGCACUGUUUCGGCAAGGGGGUCAUCCCGACUUACCAACCCGAUGCAAACUGCGAAUACCGGAGAAUGUUAUCACGGGAGACACACGGCGGGUGCUAACGUCCGUCGUGAAGAGGGAAACAACCCAGACCGCCAGCUAAGGUCCCAAAGUCAUGGUUAAGUGGGAAACGAUGUGGGAAGGCCCAGACAGCCAGGAUGUUGGCUUAGAAGCAGCCAUCAUUUAAAGAAAGCGUAAUAGCUCACUGGUCGAGUCGGCCUGCGCGGAAGAUGUAACGGGGCUAAACCAUGCACCGAAGCUGCGGCAGCGACGCUUAUGCGUUGUUGGGUAGGGGAGCGUUCUGUAAGCCUGCGAAGGUGUGCUGUGAGGCAUGCUGGAGGUAUCAGAAGUGCGAAUGCUGACAUAAGUAACGAUAAAGCGGGUGAAAAGCCCGCUCGCCGGAAGACCAAGGGUUCCUGUCCAACGUUAAUCGGGGCAGGGUGAGUCGACCCCUAAGGCGAGGCCGAAAGGCGUAGUCGAUGGGAAACAGGUUAAUAUUCCUGUACUUGGUGUUACUGCGAAGGGGGGACGGAGAAGGCUAUGUUGGCCGGGCGACGGUUGUCCCGGUUUAAGCGUGUAGGCUGGUUUUCCAGGCAAAUCCGGAAAAUCAAGGCUGAGGCGUGAUGACGAGGCACUACGGUGCUGAAGCAACAAAUGCCCUGCUUCCAGGAAAAGCCUCUAAGCAUCAGGUAACAUCAAAUCGUACCCCAAACCGACACAGGUGGUCAGGUAGAGAAUACCAAGGCGCUUGAGAGAACUCGGGUGAAGGAACUAGGCAAAAUGGUGCCGUAACUUCGGGAGAAGGCACGCUGAUAUGUAGGUGAAGCGACUUGCUCGUGGAGCUGAAAUCAGUCGAAGAUACCAGCUGGCUGCAACUGUUUAUUAAAAACACAGCACUGUGCAAACACGAAAGUGGACGUAUACGGUGUGACGCCUGCCCGGUGCCGGAAGGUUAAUUGAUGGGGUCAGCGCAAGCGAAGCUCUUGAUCGAAGCCCCGGUAAACGGCGGCCGUAACUAUAACGGUCCUAAGGUAGCGAAAUUCCUUGUCGGGUAAGUUCCGACCUGCACGAAUGGCGUAAUGAUGGCCAGGCUGUCUCCACCCGAGACUCAGUGAAAUUGAACUCGCUGUGAAGAUGCAGUGUACCCGCGGCAAGACGGAAAGACCCCGUGAACCUUUACUAUAGCUUGACACUGAACAUUGAGCCUUGAUGUGUAGGAUAGGUGGGAGGCUUUGAAGUGUGGACGCCAGUCUGCAUGGAGCCGACCUUGAAAUACCACCCUUUAAUGUUUGAUGUUCUAACGUUGACCCGUAAUCCGGGUUGCGGACAGUGUCUGGUGGGUAGUUUGACUGGGGCGGUCUCCUCCUAAAGAGUAACGGAGGAGCACGAAGGUUGGCUAAUCCUGGUCGGACAUCAGGAGGUUAGUGCAAUGGCAUAAGCCAGCUUGACUGCGAGCGUGACGGCGCGAGCAGGUGCGAAAGCAGGUCAUAGUGAUCCGGUGGUUCUGAAUGGAAGGGCCAUCGCUCAACGGAUAAAAGGUACUCCGGGGAUAACAGGCUGAUACCGCCCAAGAGUUCAUAUCGACGGCGGUGUUUGGCACCUCGAUGUCGGCUCAUCACAUCCUGGGGCUGAAGUAGGUCCCAAGGGUAUGGCUGUUCGCCAUUUAAAGUGGUACGCGAGCUGGGUUUAGAACGUCGUGAGACAGUUCGGUCCCUAUCUGCCGUGGGCGCUGGAGAACUGAGGGGGGCUGCUCCUAGUACGAGAGGACCGGAGUGGACGCAUCACUGGUGUUCGGGUUGUCAUGCCAAUGGCACUGCCCGGUAGCUAAAUGCGGAAGAGAUAAGUGCUGAAAGCAUCUAAGCACGAAACUUGCCCCGAGAUGAGUUCUCCCUGACUCCUUGA